UGCCUGUUUUCUUCUCCUUAGGGUCAUCUCCACUGCCCUUUUCCUCUCUCUUCCUCCUCCUACUGCCGGCAACCCCCUCAGUUUGGUCUACAUACCCCCCGUCAGAGCAGAGGAACUUGGGGCAACUUGGUGAGCCCCCGGGUGAGGAUCUGGUUUGGUGCGUUCCCCUUGGACACCUUGGACGUCCCCGUGUGUGCUGGGUGCAUGUGUGCGGUGAUGGUGCAUGAGUGUGCACGUGUGUGUGAGCACACGCGCGCUGUGUGCUGGAGGAGACAGGGGUGACCCCCAGCCACAGGAGUGUUUGAACUGCCCCAGACGCAGGGAAAGCCCUAGGCUGCCGUGUCCCCAUUCUGCUGGCUGCCAGCGGGAGACGUGUGUCCCCAGAGCCCGUCCCUCCCCGCCGAGCCUGGGACUCCGGGUUCAGAGCGGCAAGCUCUCAGAAAUAGUAAACCACCGUUUUCUCGCCGGCUGUUCGCCCUUAUUAAUUCAGCUGUCAUGGCCGCUCCUGUUCAGAGAGGCACCUCUCAGAAAGGGUUCUGGGAGGCAGGACAAGGUUUGCAACUCAGGUCAGAGCUGCCUCUGGAAUUGGAACGCCCGACGGGCAUGAGUCUGUUCUGAGGAAGUGGUAAAUAGG
rnacentral:lncRNA from 1 species